CACAGCCCAGUUGUUACAGACUGGUGUCAGGCACCUCACACUGCUUUGUCUUGACUCAGUUUUCCCAUUGUUUCCCUCCUGAAAGGCCAGGGACUUCACCGAGCUGGGAAAUCUCCCACCCUGUUUGAUCAGAGACUUUCUGUCAUUGCCUUUCCUGCAGGAGAGAGGUGACAGCUCCCAUUUGGAUUGCUACCUAAGGAGAUCAGAUGCCUGGUCUGAAAUCCCUGCUUCAGCACAGACUUCUAAUAUGUUUUCAUUUUGUGACGACAUAAUGAUUAGAAGAGUUGAAGCCCCUCACCCC
rnacentral:lncRNA from 12 species